UACGUAGGGGGCAAGCGUUGUCCGGAUUUACUGGGCGUAAAGAGCGCGCAGGCGGUCAGAUAAGUCGAAUGUAAAAGCCCCCGGCUCAACUGGGGAGGGUCAUUCGAUACUGUUCGACUCGAAGGCAGGAGAGGGAAGUGGAAUUCCCGGUGUAGUGGUGAAAUGCGUAGAUAUCGGGAGGAACACCAGUGGCGAAGGCGAACUUCCUGG
rnacentral:rRNA from 1 species